GACGAACGCUGGCGGCGUGCUUAACACAUGCAAGUCGAGCGGUAAGGCCCCUUCGGGGGUACACGAGCGGCGAACGGGUGAGUAACACGUGAGCAAUCUGCCCUUCACUUUGGGAUAACUCUGGGAAACGAGAGCUAAUACCGAAUACGACCACUUCAGGCAUCUGAUGGUGGUGGAAAGUUCCGGCGGUGAAGGAUGAGCUCGCGGCCUAUCAGCUAGUUGGUGGAGUAACGGCCCACCAAGGCUUCGACGGGUAGCCGGCCUGAGAGGGUGACCGGCCACACUGGGACUGAGACACGGCCCAGACUCCUACGGGAGGCAGCAGUCGAGAAUAGUCUACAAUGGUCGGAAGACUGAUAGUGCGACGCCGCGUGAACGAUGAAUCCCUUCGGGGUGUAAAGUUCUUUUAUAUGUGAGCAGUGCUUCUUAUAUUAACAGUAUGGGGAGAGAGAUAUUAGCAUAUGAAUAAGCAACGGCUAACUCCGUGCCAGCAGCCG
rnacentral:rRNA from 1 species